rnacentral:lncRNA from 1 species
UCCGAGUUUGCUCUGCAGAGCUGUUUUCUCCCACACGCGUUCACCCCGCACUUGGCAAAUAAACUUCUGGCACCGGUUUUGCUUUGUCUCGUUCAGUUCUUCGUGUGAGGCAAGAAGGACCUGGAAUACUUUUGCCUGGUGAGCCGUCCCUCAAGGAACCACCCGUAACAGGAGGGAGAGGGGCCUGUUGGGCUGGGGAAGGAGCUGAGUGCUGAGGUGAGACCCAGAGCACUGCCCAUCAGGACCGAGCCCGGGGAAGGGAGGGCGGAACACCAGGCGGCUUUCAGGACACCGAGAACAUCAGGGCUGGUGCUCCCUUCCCUGGGUACAGCCGAGGAGCCAGCGACAGCGUGUCCCGGACCCCUUCCGAUGUGGCACCUUCACCUCAGAGAGGGUGUGGGUUGGGCCCCAGGCAGCCCUGCUUUGGACAGUGUGGGUCUGUGUGAGAUGGGGCGGGCACCUGGAAGGAUGUGUGUCCCGGGAGGGGUGAGGGGGACCCCUGAAGUACCGCGGUCCCAAUUGUUGAGAUCACCAGGACUGUGCCACGGCGGAAGGCCACGGCGGAAGGCCACGGCGGAAGGCCAUGACAGCUGCAGGGUGGACUUCUGAGCCCCGGGGUCGGAGGCUUCCCAUGUGGGCCUCGGGGACAAGGCUGGCGAACAGGGGCUCCAGGGCGGAGCUUCAGCCUCGCAGAGGACUGGUGUGCCCGUGUUAUAGCCAAGCGUGACAGCUCUGUGUUGCGGCCAAGCAUUACGGCUAUCCAAGGGUCUCCGGUGAGGAAGAAGUCCAGUGGCUCUCCAGAGAUGGAGAUCCUGUUAUGCAGGCAGACUCAGACGAGUUCGUACUCCGGAGUCUGAGCCCGGAAGAGAAAUACAAGUGGUCUUACAUAGAGAUCUACGGGCUGCGGCUGGGGGUGGGCCGACCUCCCAGGUGCGUAUGCUCACUGAGGUGGAUGGGUGGGCCCACGGAACAUUCUUGAAGCCUAGACAUCCUACCGCACAGUUAAACAUGGAGGGGCGCUUGGCAACAGACAAAGGCCCGCCCUGUUGUGCAUUAUUUCUUCAUCACCCAAAGCCAAGAUGGGGAGACGUGACUUCUUCAUGCAGGGCCCACUUGGAGCGGAGGGGGAGGAGAGUGGUGUCAGCGACGGGAGAACAGACUGUGAUCACCCCAGAAGAGGAUUUCUGGAACCAGGCCCCGAGGCCCCGGAAUGCACAGUCCAGCUUCUGUGCCUGGAUAGGCUGA